ACCCGUCUUUGUGGCAGGGAUCAUGGAGCUCGGGUUCACGGAGGAGCAGUUUCAGGAGGCCUGGAGGGAGCUGGAUGAGCGGGCGCUGCCCGGCGGGUGGGAGCUGUUCACGGAGAGCAUGGGCAUUCAGAUAUACCGGCUGUACGACCAGAAAACAGGCCUCUAUGAAUAUAAAAUCUACGGUGGUCUGGCCGAUUGUCCAGCAGAGCUUUGCGCCGAUGUGUACAUGGAUUUGGAUUACAGAAAGAAAUGGGACCAGUAUGUAAAAGCUCUAUACGAAGACCAGAAUGGAGAAGACAAAGUGAUAUACUGGGAAGUGAAAUAUCCAUUCCCUCUGUCUAACCGGGAUUAUGUGUAUGUUCGAGAUCGGAGGGAUUUGGACAUAGAUGAGAGAAAAAUCUUUGUCAUUUUGGCUAAGAGUGCAUCAGUUCCACAAUAUCCAGAGAAGUCAGGAAUUAUCAGGGUCAAUGGCUACAAACAGAGCUUGGCAAUAGAGAGUGACGGCAGCAAUGGCUGUAAAAUCUUUAUGUACUACUUUGAUAAUCCAGGUGGCAUGAUCCCUUCAUGGCUUAUUAAUUGGGCAGCCAAGCUACUGACUCUAUUGUUCCUGCUCCACCGAUGAUGUGGUGUACCAAUAAGUGGCCGCCACAAUGAUGAUGUGCUGACACCACUGAGGUCACCACUGGUGAACACUGACUGUAAGCACGUUAUUGCUGGAACUGAGCGGAGCAGGGGACAGAGCGUCAGCACUGAAACGGCAGUGGAGUUGUAAGAGUGGCGUUCCAAAUUUCGUAAAGGACAUUCAGAAGGCGUGUAAAGGAUAUACAGCGAAAGACUCUUCAAAGUAGACAAAACAAGUGCAUUCUUUUAAAGGAAUUUUCUAUGCUUUUUGUUAGGAAAAAUUA